rnacentral:lncRNA from 1 species
AUCCCACUUUCAGGGAUGAUUCAGAAUCAGAAGAGAUACAUGUAAAUUUAAACACAUUUGACAUUUGUACAAGCUAUGAUGGAACCCUUAACUUCAUCUUCCCCUUAGGUAUAGGUCAGAAGAGGAUUAUUCCGGCCCAAGAAACCGUUGGUCUGAGGGUAUACUCACAGGACUGUUGGAGAGCUAUGUUCUUCCUGGCAGCCACUACUUCCCGGAAGCUGCUAUAUGUCAACAGUAUCAUACCAGAGACUGAAAGAUGCAAUCUCACCAGCAACAGCCAUGGAAGCUUCUGCUUUCAGGAUACUUUAGAUCAACCUACGAUUUCAGAAACUAACAGAAGCCAUGGACAGGAUGGGAAUGAAAACAAAUGGCAAACUGGAGGCUAG